rnacentral:rRNA from 1 species
GGCGAACGGGUGAGUAACACGUGGGUGAUCUGCCCUGAACUUUGGGAUAAGCCUGGGAAACUGGGUCUAAUACCGGAUAUGACCUUGGAGUGCAUGCUCUGGGGUGGAAAGCUUUUGCGGUUCAGGAUGGGCCCGCGGCCUAUCAGCUUGUUGGUGGGGUAAUGGCCUACCAAGGCGACGACGGGUAGCCGACCUGAGAGGGUGAUCGGCCACACUGGGACUGAGACACGGCCCAGACUCCUACGGGAGGCAGCAGUGGGGAAUAUUGCACAAUGGGCGCAAGCCUGAUGCAGCGACGCCGCGUGAGGGAUGACGGCCUUCGGGUUGUAAACCUCUUUCACCAGGGACGAAGCGCAAGUGACGGUACCUGGAGAAGAAGCACCGGCCAACUACGUGCCAGCAGCCGCGGUAAUACGUAGGGUGCGAGCGUUGUCCGGAAUUACUGGGCGUAAAGAGCUCGUAGGCGGUUUGUCGCGUCGUCU